CGGCUCUCGCAUCGAUGAAGAACGUAGCGAACUGCGAUACUUGGUGUGAAUUGCAGAAUCCCGUGAACCAUCGAGUCUUUGAACGCAA
rnacentral:rRNA from 1 species